GUCUCUCUCCCUCUCGACCCUCUUCUCCGAUUACCGCCACCGCUAGCCACCGUAGGAAACUGCUCCUCUGCCGCUAUUUUUGCACCGAUCAGCCUCUGAUGAGACCUUUCAACCUGCCACCGGUGAAGCAACAACUUCCAACAGCGUCGAAAAGUUGCUUUCAUUGCCGAUAGCCACUAUCAUCGCCACACCGGUGCCGUUCGGGCGAGAUUACGACGAGAUUUUUCGGCAAACUCCGACGCCGACCAAUUUUAAUUUUUCAGAUUCGACUUGAUCUACAACCCUCUUGCAACCUUUCGUUAAAGGAAGUGUUCUCUAUGUGAUUUUUGACGAAAAACUCGAUUCUCAACAAAAAGACGAAAUGGUUAAAAGCACGCAACGAAAGUACUUCUGAUGAUCGCGGAAAGGCGAAGGCAUGAUCAUACCGUUCCUCACAUUUUAUGAUUUUAUGAUUUGACUCUGGGGUACUCCGACAAUAUACUAUUUUGAAAACAAGUUUUGUAAUAAUCGUGUGCUUUGAAAUGUUUUAAAAAGUUUAAAUUUGGCAUGAUUUUUAUGGGUGUUACAAUUUAUUUCAGAAAUAUCACAAAAUGACAAGUGUCAAAACUCAUAAGAAAUUGACAUAUAACAGAAUUGAUCUUGAUUUAUUAGAGUAGAUAAAUAUUAUUUUGAA